UACGUAGGGUGCGAGCGUUAAUCGGAAUUACUGGGCGUAAAGCGUGCGCAGGCGGUUCGUUAAGUUCGUUGUGAAAGCCCCGGGCUCAACCUGGGAACUGCAAUGGAAACUGGCGGGCUUGAGUGUGGCAGAGGGGGGUGGAAUUCCGCGUGUAGCAGUGAAAUGCGUAGAUAUCCGGAGGAACACCGGUGGCGAAGGCGGCUUCCUGGACCGACACUGACGCUGAGGCGCGAAAGCUAGGGGAGCAAACGGG
rnacentral:rRNA from 1 species